rnacentral:rRNA from 1 species
UACGUAGGGUCCGAGCGUUGUCCGGAAUUAUUGGGCGUAAAGAGCUCGUAGGCGGUUUGUCGCGUCUGCUGUGAAAUCCCGAGGCUCAACCUCGGGUCUGCAGUGGGUACGGGCAGACUGGAGUGCGGUAGGGGAGAAUGGAAUUCCUGGUGUAGCGGUGGAAUGCGCAGAUAUCAGGAGGAACACCGAUGGCGAAGGCAGUUCUCUGGGCCGUAACUGACGCUGAGGAGCGAAAGUGUGGGGAGCGAACAGG